rnacentral:lncRNA from 12 species
AGGGGCACGCGCUGGGUCCGGUAGUGGGCACGAGCUAUGGUCCGUGAGGGGGCACCAGCUGGGUCCGUUAGGGGCACGCGCUGGGUCCGGUAGUGGGCACGAGCUAUGGUCCGUGAGGGGGCACCAGCUGGGUCCGUGAGGGGGCACGAGCUAUGGUCCGUUAGGGGCACGCGCUGGGUCCGAUAGUGGGCACGAGCUAUGGUCCGUUAGGGGGCACGCGCUGGGUCCGGUAGUGGGCACGAGCUAUGGUCCGUGAGGGGGCACGCGCUGGGUCCGUUAGGGGCACGCGCUGGGUCCGGUAGUGGGCACGAGCUACGGUCCGUGAGGGGGCACGCGCUGGGUCCGUUAGGGGCACGCGUUGGGUCCGUUAGGGGGUACCAGCUGGGUCCCUGAGGGGGCACGCGCUGGGUCCGGAAGUGGGCACGAGCUAUGGUCCGUGAGGGGGCACCAGCUGGGUCCGGUAGUGGGCACGCGCUGGGUCCCGUAGUGGGCACGAGCUAUAUGGUCCCUGAGGGGGCACCAGCUGGGUCCCUGAGGGGGCACGCGCUGGGCUCCGGGGCGCUGGAAGCAGUCGGUUCUUGAGCGGAGCCGGUUAAUUACAAAUAUCACCGACAUUUACUGUUUAAACGUAGUGAUGGAAGGGAUGGACAUGAUAAGGACGGGUCCGUUUCUCAGGGAAGGAGAAGUCCUGAAGGGAGGAACCUCCAGGGAAAGCCAAACCCCGCUGAGCGACGGCUGACGGAGGAGCCAGCGAAGGGGCCGGCCGCAGAAAAGGCCCCCAGCAGUCACAACACGGGAAGAGGAGGAGGAGGAGGAGGAAGAGAGAGAAAGACAGAACUAAAAACCCUUGAAGGAUGGCUCUCCAAAAUUGCUGUCGGAAGCACGGGGAAUCCCUGGUAGCGCGGGAGCGGAGGUAAGGCAGCCUGCGCCCACCCUGCUGCCGGCCCCCGCGCCUC